rnacentral:ncRNA from 1 species
CAAAAAGCAUUGACGAGGAGGAGUACAUGCAGUUUCCGGAUGGACAGAGAGAAAUUGGUUGGUGAAAAAUUUCGUGAAGGACGCAUGGAAGUAGCCUUUGAGCUUUGGAUCGAACAGGUAUAUUUUUACAGCUUUAGUAGACUCCAACGGAGAUUCCCACCGUUAUAAGGGAAGCAAUAUCGGAAUUAAAAAUAAAUUCCCGUAUUGUAUUGAGUGCAGAAGUAUUUCUGAAUCUAGGUGGUACCACGGACAUGUAUGUUCGCCCUGGGC